rnacentral:lncRNA from 12 species
AAAGAGAUCUGCUGGUCAGGUUCUAACUGGUGUUGCCACUUUGGUGCUUUGGUUAGUGGCUCUAGAUAAAGGAUUAAAAUUUGCACUUCCUAAGCUACCAUUUCUCUUGCCCAUUUAUUGUUUUUAGUAAGUAGGAUAUUUAUCAUAGGUACUUUUGUUGGCAUAUAGCACUAGGUGUUUAAGAAAAGCUAGAGGUAAGGAAGAAGCAGUAAUUGCCAAAGGAUACAAGACACUGUGAGAAUUCUUUUCACUUGGAAUUAGCCCGUAAGUGCAUUGCUUACUGUGGGUAGAGAAUAAAAGUUUGAUGAAUUAAAGUGCUUUUGUGAAAAGUUUUAAAUCUGAAAAGAGACUUGAAUCUAACUCAAUGCCUCAACUCAUCAGUUUUUCAGGUAUAUCACUUUUAUUUUAUUUUUAUUUUUUUUUAGGUAUAUCACUUUUAGAAAGAAAUAGGAAAUAGUAGCAAAAUAAACUAUUAAGAAUUUAUUCAAUAAAAAAUUCCCAACUUCUCAUUUUAUCUUGGAGCUAGUCUAUAUUCACUGAAAUGUUUUUGAAGGAUUUACAUCUACAUGGUCAAUGCUAUAAAAUUACUGAGUUGCUCUGACUCCUGGGAGAUAAAAUUUCUGUAUUUAACGUGAUAGCCCUAAAGAAAUAAAAAAAAUAAAGUGAUAGCCCUGACUCAGGUAAGAGCUUUAAGUAGUAAAGACUGACUCAAUUAUGUUUACAAGAGAGGGAGAUCAACUUACCAUAAACAUUAUUGGAUGAAGCAAAAUGGUUUCUGAUUUAUUCUCUCAUUAACUGGGAAAUUCAAUUAAUAAGAAAAGUCUGCACACUGAGGGGUCUUGUUGAAUGUUUCAUUAACCAUAUCUAUUCUUUUAGGGGCAAAGGGGUCUUUGAAAGAGCUUUCCUCGGAAUCAAAUUCAGAUCUAACAAAAGUGCUGAAGGGAAAAAGUGUUUCUUCUUUGAAUGACUGACCUAAGGAUCGGUUGGAAAAAAAAAAAAAAGCAAACCUGGAGAGUGGACAGCCAAGCACACGUUGCUAUUGCCAUUCUUUCCCCUCUGUGGAUGUGGGAUUGAGGAAGAUAAAUUCCUGGAAUUGCUUCAGUUCACAAAGCAGGUUGUAAUUUCCUUUUGACCAAAUCAUCGCUGGCCUCAAGAGGAGUUGAACUUACUCAGUUUUAUGUGAAACCAGAAACAUGCCAACAAAGAAGUAGGACAUAGAGAUAUCCUUUCUACUAAUUUAGACUUCAGUCUCUGUGGGCAGCAGAGUACAAUCCAAGACACCCCCACGUUCUUGGAUAAAUGUGCCUACAGUAGUAGGGAAGCUCCUGUUUUCUGUCUAUAUUCCCUUCUCACUUUUUUAGCUUUUUUCCGUUUCUAUAGUGGGCUGAAAUGAUAGCUCCCACAAAAGAUAUGUCUAUGUCCUAAUCCCCAGAACUUGUAAUGUGACCUUAUUUGGAAAAAGGGUCUUUGCAGAGGUACUUAAGUUAAGGAUUUUGAGAGGAGGAGUUUAUGCUGCACUCAAAAUGCAAUCAUAAGU